GAACCACAUAAAGGAACACAACACAGAACCAAACAAUACAGACAGACACAGAACCGCACAAUACAGACAGACACAGAACCACAUAAAGCAACACAAUACAGACCCACACAAUAAAGAACGACACAAAACCACAUAAAACAACACAACACAGAAGCAUACAGAACACACCAGGGCUCCAGCAUCUGACUGGACUGUUUCCUGUUGGACUCUGUCCCUUUCUUCUUGUUAUUAACAGCCAUGUUUGAGGUGCUUUCCGUCAGUUUAAUGUAUUUCCUAUUGGGAAGGAGACUUCAGCGUCAGUGAAGAGAACCAAGGCCAAGCUCCCAGAACAAUUAUGUGGCUACAACUGUAACAACUGUAACAAUUAUAGAAACAGAAGUUAAACAAAACCUGCACAGUUCCUUCCAUGUAAGCAUGACCAGCAGGAUUAAUCUGGAUUCACCAGUGUGAAGCCCAGCCAGUUCCCACGGCACACAUUGCUACAUCCACUGGAGGAAAGCAGUUGAGCCCCCAGAUGUGUCCAGAUGUGUCCAGAUGUCCAGCCAUGUUCGCUGCCAUGAUCAUGUCACAUUGUCGCCAUCAGUGAAUCCAUGUGUUUCUGUAUGAAGUCACAUCUUAGUGAUGCUGCACUCAAUUAAAAGCUAU